rnacentral:lncRNA from 1 species
UCUCCUCCACACAUUGCAGGCGAGAACGUGCGCGGGAGUAAUACAUACACGCGCACAUUGCCUUUAGCUACCGCUGUAGUAGUGAUCUGGCUGGAAGGCAGCCGCGCGCGCGGCAGGGGAAGCUAACUACUGACUGACAUCGCAAGGGGAGGGGGGAGAGAUACCGGCCGACCGACGGGGAGUAGGAGUGACCGAGAUGCUGGACUGGGCGCCGGUGGUGGUGGGGGUGGUGCUCUUCGUGCUGCUCUCGCCGGGCCUGCUCAUCGAGUUCCCCGGCACAACCCGGUGGGUCGACUUCGGCAGCCUCCGCGUCACCGGCAAGGCCGCCACCAUCCACACCCUCGUCUUCUUCACCCUCUUCGCCAUCAUCACCAUGGCAUGCAACCUCCACAUCUACGCCUAGACACGCCCAACCAGCAGCUAGCUGAUGAUCGUCGCGUCUACCUCUUCAUCGUCAUCGAUUCAUCACUACCGAACCAGUGUAUACUGUACAGUACCGCACUCUGCUCGGCUCAGUUGACGGCCGGGCAUCUGGUUAUGCGUAAAGCAUCUGUUCAUCUGUAAUCUGGUUGCUUUUACAAAGGGUGUGUAUUGUCAGAUAUACGGGCUUCGCUCGUAUAAAUAUUCUGAAUAAAUCUCUAAGAUCCAUUAGCGUAAGAGGGGUACACCAUCUCUUAGUCCCAUAUUGCUAAUAGACGAGGCUGUUAGCGGUUUUCUUCCCAAUAAAUACGGACGAUCCCCUCAUGGAAAAGACGCACCAUAGACUACUGUACGGGAAGGGCCCCAGGAUAGGGUGUCCCUAAGGUGGUCUAUACGGGUUAGGUAAAAACUUUUAUACACUACUGCACCGCCACUGUAGUCUUCUCCAUUCCGUUACGUCGGUGUGCACCGGCGAACGGGAGAGCAGGUCUCCGAAACCGGUCGUCCUUGUGAUCCUGCACUAGGA